UUAAAAAUUAGCUGGGCGUGUGCAUGCUUAUAGUCCCAGCUACUCAGGAGGCUGAGGUGAGAGGAUCGCUGAACUCUGGAGGUCAAGGCUGCAGUGAGCCUUGUUCGGGCCACUGCAUUCCAGCGUGGAUGACAGAGCGAGACCUUGUCUCUGAAAAAAAAAAAAAAAAGAUAACCUCUGUCUUUUUCAGUAUCUUGUACACUUCUCAUAGGAAUUAUCUACAUUUGCCAAACUGGUUGUUUCAUUAUGUAGCCACCAGCUGUUUGCCCUUACCUAACAGAGAUUACUAUUGUACUGAUUGUUCUCUGUACUUAGUGUCAGAGCUAUUCAGAGAUACUAGAUGAUUUCUUUCAAUGUAUAUGUGUAUGGCUUCUCUUCUCAACAAGGGGCUUCGCUCCAACGUUAUCUUGAACUUCCGUGAUAAGUCAUUCCACAGCUCUUUCAAAAUAAGUACUUGGAAUUUUUGUUGAGUGUAUAAUUAUUUGUGCAUCUUGAAAUCUGCUUAUUCUCUUCUUUCUUUUUAAAAAAAUCAUUCUCACUGUCAUCUUAUGCUUCUUCUCUUCUUAGAUAUCAAUGAUGUCAAACGGCUGAAACCUGGCUACUUAGAAGCUACUGUGGACUGGUUUAGAAGGUAUAAGGUUCCUGAUGGAAAACCAGAAAAUGAGUUUGCGUUUAAUGCAGAAUUUAAAGAUAAGGACUUUGCCAUUGAUAUUAUUAAAAGCACUCAUGACCAUUGGAAAGCAUUAGUGACUAAGAAAACGAAUGGAAAAGGAAUCAGUUGCAUGAAUACAACUGUGUCUGAGAGCCCCUUCAAGUGUGAUCCUGAUGCUGCCAGAGCCAUUGUGGAUGCUGUAUGUAAAAGUUUCCUUAAAAAAAAAACAAGCCUGGUUGCUAAAAACUAUGAUGCUAAAUGGGGAGAGGAAGUACUUGUUUCGACAAAUACUUGAGUGCCUUUUGUAUGCAUGUUACUGUGUGGAGUCUUGAAAUUAGAAACCAUGAACACAUGCAAGUGGCCAUUUGACUGAGGGAGAAGCUGAGGGAGUGAUUCUAAUCAAUCAUAAGUUGGACAGAUAGCAUGGUAGUAAGAUUUGUAAAAAUCAGAAUGGUUCCAGAAUGUACCGAGUAACCUGUGUGCCUAUGACCCAUCAUAAGCCAUUUCCGCAAAAGAAUCAAUGGGAAUUUACUUGACUUGGUUCUAGCAAGGACUGAGGAAGGUAUCAAGUUUUAGGUACCAUUGCAGGAAUGAUUUAUAAUCUAAGAAAGGCUUUCAUGUGAGGUAGUAAAAGCACCCGUCAAAGCAAUAAUUUUGCUUUUGUACUAUUUUUAAUUAUUUGGUUUGGAUUAACCAAAAGAUUGAACGAGAUCAUCUUAAAUUAUUUUCAUUUAUAAUAUUAAAUAAGGAAAACAAAAGAAAAUGAGGUCUGACUUUUUUACUGCCUUGUAAAUGGGGUAGAACAAGGAAAAAAGGACAAUUUAAUGAUGAAACCAGUACAUUUAGUUUUAUCUUUAUUUAUGUAUGAAUCCCGACAAAGUUGAGAUAAAUAAGAAAAAUUAUAAGGGAAAAGCCAGUGGUUAACUAUUAUAAUUUUUCAGUGAGAACACUGCCCAUAUUUUAUAAAUAUGUGUGUAUAUAUAAAAUUGUUAUAUAUGCAUAAAUCAGUUUUUAUUAUUUCAAAAAACAUUCUUAUUAUUCUGCAUGUCAUAAAAAGUCAAGAGGCUUGAAUUUUUUUUUUUUUUUUGAGACAAGUCUCGCUCUGUUGCCCAGACUGGAGUUCAGUGGCGCAAUCUCAGCUUACUGCAACCUCCGCCUCCCAGGUUCAAGCGGUUCUCUGCCUCAGCCUCCCGAGCAGCUGGGAUUACAGGUGCCCGCCACCACGCCCAGCUUUUAUUUUUAGUAGAGACGGGGUUUCACCAUCUUGGCCAGGCUGGUCUUGAACUCCUGACCUUGUGAUCCACCCACUUCAGCCUCCCGAACUGCUGGGAUUAUGGGCAUGAGCCACUGCACUGUCCAAGAGGCUUGAAUUUGUUAGCAUCUCAGCAGUAGAGCAAACCUUCUAUUGUUCCUAUAUAUUAUAAAUUAUGUUUAGAUCCUAAAAUUUGGGAUAGUCUUCAGAUUCUCUUAAAUUUUUGUCAGUAUACCUUUUUAGCUUUUUAAAAAAUGAGAUUAGACUAAUAGAUUUUAAUAUUUUAUAUUUUAGUUACCACCACCCUGUGAAUCUGCCUGCACAGUACCAACAGACGGUAAGAUUUCUAUUCCAGUAAAAUUUCAUUAAACAUUACACAGUUAUGGAAAAAUUAUGUUACUUUUAUUUUUAGUUGACAAAUGAUAAUUAUAUAUAUUUAUGGGUACAGUGUGAUGUUUUGAUAUAUGUUUACAAUGUGGAAUGAUUAAAUCCGGCUAAUUAAGAAAUCAUUACCUCACAUACUUAAUCAUUAUUUGGUGUGUGGUAAAAACAUUUGAAAUCUACUCUUAGCAAUUUUGAAAUAGACGUUACAGUCACCAUCCUGUGCAAUAGAUCACUAAAGCUUAUUCCUUUUGUCUAACUAAAACUUGGUACCCUUUGACCAUCACCUGCCCUUUCCCCAUCCUUCAGCUCCUGGCAACCACCAUUCUACUCUCUACCUCUAUGAAUUUACCUUUUUUAUAUUGCACAUAUAAAUGAGAUCAUGUGGUAUUUGUCUUUCUGUACCUGGCUUGUUUUUUGUUUUUUGACACAGAGUCACCCAGGCUGUCACUCUGUCACCCAGGCUGGAGUGCAGGGGCACAAUCACAGCUCAUUGUACCCAUAACCCCCCCCCAAGUUAAAGUGAUUCUCCCAUCUCAGCCUCCCAAAUAGCUGGGACUGCAGACAUGUGCCACCAUACCUGUCUAAUUUUUUUAUGAUUUGUAGAGAUAGAGUUUCACCAUGUUGCCCAAGCUGGUCUCAAACCAGGUCUCGAACCAGGCUGGUCUUGAACACUAAUCAGGCCGGGUUUCGCCAUGUCACCCAGGCUGGCGAUCCACCUACCUUGUCCUCCCAAAGUGCUAGGAUUACAGGCGUGAGCCACUGCACGCAGCCACGUACAUAUUUUUAACAUACACAGGAAGAGAGGGAAGAAGGGUGAGAAGAGAAGCAUUUUUAGAAUUCUGUAGUGUACGUGGGAAGGAAGAUGAGCUGCUACAUACCACCUUUAGUGCCACACUGUAUCACAGUGGUUUCCAAACCAUGACCCAUUGUGCCCCUCUGAGUUCCAUGGAGGUGCCCGCUGGACACUGGAGGGGACCCUGAGUGGGCUGAUCUCCACAUUCCCACCUGGCCACAGGCUGCUUCACCCAGAAAACAGUUCUCUCCUCCUUAGAUGUCAGAAUUCUCUGUAAGAUUUUUCUGAUAAGAAAAUGAUUCUGCCACUUAAAAAAACAAGUUUGAAGGCUGGGUGUGAUGGCUCACACCUGUCAUCCCAGCACUUUAGGAGGCUGAGGCGGGCGGAUCACUUGAGCCCAGGAGUUCGAGACCAGCCUGGCCAACAUGGAGAAACCAUGUCUCUAC
rnacentral:sRNA from 1 species